rnacentral:rRNA from 1 species
AGCAGCCGCGGUAAUUCCAGCUCCAAUAGCGUAUAUUAAAGUUGUUGCAGUUAAAAAGCUCGUAGUUGAAUUUCGGGGUUAGUAGGUUGGUCAUGCCUCUGGUAUGUACUGGUCUCACUGAUUCCUCCUUCCUUAUGAACCGUAAUGCUAUUAAUUUGGUGUUGCGGGGAAUUUGGACUGUUACUUUGAAAAAUUAGAGUGUUUAAAGCAAGCUAACGCUUGAAUACAUUAGCAUGGAAUAAUGAAAUAGGACGUUCGAUCUUAUUUUGUUGGUUUCUAGGAUUGACGUAAUGAUUAAUAGGGAUAGUUGGGGGCAUUAGUAUUCAAUUGUCAGAGGUGAAAUUCUUGGAUUUAUUGAAGACUAACUACUGCGAAAGCAUUUGCCAAGGAUGUUUUCAUUAAUCAAGAACGAAAGUUAGGGGAUCGAAGACGAUCAGAUACCGUCGUAGU